rnacentral:rRNA from 1 species
UACGGAGGGUGCGAGCGUUGUCCGGAAUCACUGGGCGUAAAGGGCGCGUAGGCGGCGCGGGAAGUCAACGGUGAAAGCUUGGGGCUCAACUCCGAGUCGGCCGUCGAUACUCCCGUGCUCGAGCACUGUAGGGGCAGAUGGAAUUCCGGGUGUAGCGGUGGAAUGCGUAGAGAUCCGGAAGAACACCGGUGGCGAAGGCGGUCUGCUGGGCAGUUGCUGACGCUGAUGCGCGACAGCGUGGGGAGCAAACAGG